UUGCUUUCUUCCUACCUCAGCAACCACUCCCCAGAUGUUGGCAGAGACACUGUGGUGGUUACAAAGGUCAGCAUGAGUGCUCGUGAGAGCUCACGUGUUUAUUUUGGGGGUACAGACCCUGAACUCCAGAAGUGCAGAGACCUGGUCCAGUUUGAUUGAUGUCCACGGGGCUGGUGUCCGUCGCUAUCAUCACUCUGAGCCUCUGGCAGGCUCGGUCCCUACUUGCCAGAUUCCACAUAUGAGUGCGAUCAUGUGAUACUUGUCUUUCUCUGACUAGCUUGUUUCGCUUAAUGUGAUAUUCUCCAGGUCCCUCCAUGCUGUCUCAAAGGAGAACACAUAACCUUCUCCCAGUCUAUGGCUCUGAGGAAGCACACUCUGGGAAGUACUCAUGUGGCAGAAUAAAGCACUAAUUUUUACAAUCAGACUGACUCAGACUUACCUUCGCAUUUAUUUGCCAUGCUAAAGAUACUCUGGCAGUUGUCUGCCUAGCAUUGAGCCUCAGGUUUCCUCAUCUGGAAAAUGUGAAUAGCUACCCUAGAGGGUCAUUGCAAGGAUGGA